GCAUCGGUGGUUCAGUGGUAGAAUGCUCGCCUGCCACGUGGUUCGAUUCCCGGCCGAUGCA
rnacentral:tRNA from 1 species